rnacentral:rRNA from 1 species
UACGUAGGGUGCAAGCGUUGUCCGGAAUUAUUGGGCGUAAAGAGCUCGUAGGCGGUUUGUUGCGUCGGCUGUGAAAUCCCGAGGCUCAACCUCGGGUCUGCAGUCGAUACGAGCAAACUCGAGUGUUGCAGGGGAGACUGGAAUUCCUGGUGUAGCGGUGAAAUGCGCAGAUAUCAGGAGGAACACCGGUGGCGAAGGCGGGUCUCUGGGCAACAACUGACGCUGAGGAGCGAAAGCGUGGGGAGCGAACAGG